rnacentral:rRNA from 1 species
GGCGAACGCUGGCGGCGUGCCUAAUACAUGCAAGUAGAACGCUGAAGAGAGGAGCUUGCUCUUCUUGGAUGAGUUGCGAACGGGUGAGUAACGCGUAGGUAACCUGCCUUGUAGCGGGGGAUAACUAUUGGAAACGAUAGCUAAUACCGCAUAACAAUGGAUGACACAUGUCAUUUAUUUGAAAGGGGCAAUUGCUCCACUACAAGAUGGACCUGCGUUGUAUUAGCUAGUAGGUGAGGUAAUGGCUCACCUAGGCGACGAUACAUAGCCGACCUGAGAGGGUGAUCGGCCACACUGGGACUGAGACACGGCCCAGACUCCUACGGGAGGCAGCAGUAGGGAAUCUUCGGCAAUGGGGGCAACCCUGACCGAGCAACGCCGCGUGAGUGAAGAAGGUUUUCGGAUCGUAAAGCUCUGUUGUAAGUCAAGAACGGGUGUGAGAGUGGAAAGUUCACACUGUGACGGUAGCUGACCAGAAAGGGACGGCUAACUACGUG